GACGAACGCUGGCGGCGUGCUUAACACAUGCAAGUCGAACGGAAAGGCCCUGCUUGCAGGGUGCUCGAGUGGCGAACGGGUGAGUAACACGUGGGUGAUCUGCCCCUUACUUUGGGAUAAGCCUGGGAAACUGGGUCUAAUACUGGAUAGGACCAUGCUGUAGGCGGUGUGGUGGAAAGAUUAGUUUCGGUAAGGGAUGAGCUCGCGGCCUAUCAGCUUGUUGGUGGGGUAUUGGCGUACCAAGGCGUCGACGCGUAGCCGGCCUGAGAGGGUGGACGGCCACAUUGGGACUGCGGUACGGCGCAGACUCCUACGGGGGGCAGCAGUGGGGGAGAUUGCACAAUGGUCGCAAGCCGGAUGCAGCGACGCCGCGUGGGGGAUGACGGCCUUCGGGUUGUAAACUCCUUUCAGCCAUGACGAAGCCCUUGUGGUGACGGUAGUGGUAGAAGAAGCACCGGCUAACUACGUG
rnacentral:rRNA from 1 species